GCAGAUGUAGCUCAGUCGGUAGAGCACCGUCCCCGUCCCGGGCGGAGGUGGCAGGUUCGAGUCCUGCCGUCUGCUCCA
rnacentral:tRNA from 1 species